AAAGGGGAGUAGACUAACAGGAUUCCCCUAGUAACUGCGAGUGAAGCGGGAAAAGCUCAAAUUUAAAAUCUGGCAGCUUUGGCUGUCCGAGUUGUAGUCUGGAGAAGCGUUUUCUGUGCUGGACCGUGUACAAGUCUCUUGGAACAGAGCGUCGUAGAGGGUGAGAAUCCCGUCUUUGACACGGACUCCCAGUGCUUUGUGAUGCGCUCUCAAAGAGUCGAGUUGUUUGGGAAUGCAGCUCAAAAUGGGUGGUAAAUUCCAUCUAAAGCUAAAUAUUGGCGAGAGACCGAUAGCGAACAAGUACCGUGAGGGAAAGAUGAAAAGCACUUUGGAAAGAGAGUUAAACAGUACGUGAAAUUGCUGAAAGGGAAACGAUUGAAGUCAGUCGCGUCGGCCAGAACUCAGCCUGGCUUUUGCCUGGUGCAUUUUCUGGUUGACGGGCCAGCAUCAAUUUUGAUCGCUGGAUAAAGGCCUUGGGAAUGUGGCACCUUCGGGUGUGUUAUAGCCCUUGGUUGUAUACAGUGGUUGGGAUUGAGGAUCACAGCAUGCCUUUACGGCCGGGGUUCGCCCACGUUCAUGCUUAGGAUGCUGGCGUAAUGGCUUUAAACGACCCGUCUUGAAACACGGACCAAGGAGUCUAACAUGCCUGCGAGUGUUUGGGUGGAAAACCCGAGCGCGCAAUGAAAGUGAAAGUUGGGAUCCCUGUCGCGGGGAGCACCGACGCCCGGACCAGACCUUUUGUGACGGAUCCGCGGUAGAGCAUGUAUGUUGGGACCCGAAAGAUGGUGAACUAUGCCUGAAUAGGGUGAAGCCAGAGGAAACUCUGGUGGAGGCUCGUAGCGAUUCUGACGUGCAAAUCGAUCGUCAAAUUUGGGUAUAGGGGCGAAAGACUAAUCGAACCAUCUAGUAGCUGGUUCCUGCCGAAGUUUCUCUCAGGAUAGCAGAAACUCAUGUCAGAUUUAUGUGGUAAAGCGAAUGAUUAGAGGUCU
rnacentral:rRNA from 1 species